CAGUUUCCUUGGAUUCAGGAUGUUCCCCAAAUGAAAUAAAUAACUACUAUUCGGUGAGAGAAUUAUUUGAAUUUCAAGAUCAGUAGAAUUGUUGACAAAAUAACACAAGCGGGGUGAUGUUAUGAUAGAGAAAGUGUGUUCCCUGCUUCUGAUUCCGUGUUGAAAUCGCUUAAAUGAUAUUUCCAAAUGAAUACAAACUACUGAAAUAAAUUGCAACAUUGAAGCGUCUUGAAAUGAUUGGAAUAGUGGAGCUAAAUAUUCCACAAAAUACUUUUAUUUCGAUGAGAUUCUGAACAGAUGAAAAGAAAGAGUUUCCAUUGCAACAUUUUGAUGCACGAGCUCCACAUGAAACAAGACUAUGGCAGACAUAAGGAAAAAUACAGAGGACUGGAUUCACUUAACAAAACCGUUCAGCUAUCAUUCAUAUUAUUCUUGUUAUCGUAGAGUAGACAAAGAUUUAUAGACAAUGAAGUAUCACGCUUUUCUUUUUAAUAUCAAGUUUUAA